GACGAACGCUGGCGGCGUGCCUAAUACAUGCAAGUAGGACGCAGUUGCGAACGGGUGAGUAACGCGUAGGUAACUGCCCACUAGAGGGGGAUAACUAUUGUAAACGAUAGCUAAUACCGCAUACUAGUUGAUGGACCUGCGUUUUAUUAGCUAGUAGGUAGGGUAAUGGCCUACCUAGGCGACGAUACAUAGCCGACCUGGGAAGGUGGUCGGUCCAACUGGGGAUGGGGCACGGCCCCGGCUCCUACGGGAGGCAGCAGUAGGGAAUCUUCGGCGAGGGGGUGAACCCUGACCAGACAACGGCGCGGGAGUGAAGGAGGUUUUCGGGUCGUGAAACUCUGUUGUUAAGGGAGCGGUACUUAACCAGAAAGGGACGGCUAACUCCGUGCCAGCAGCCGCGGUAAUUC
rnacentral:rRNA from 1 species